GACGAACGCUGGCGGCGUGCUUAACACAUGCAAGUCGAACGGAAAGGCCCUGCUUUUGUGGGGUGCUCGAGUGGCGAACGGGUGAGUAACACGUGAGUAACCUGCCCUUGACUUUGGGAUAACUUCAGGAAACUGGGGCUAAUACCGGAUAGGAGCUCCUGCUGCAUGGUGGGGGUUGGAAAGUUUCGGCGGUUGGGGAUGGACUCGCGGCUUAUCAGCUUGUUGGUGGGGUAGUGGCUUACCAAGGCUUUGACGGGUAGCCGGCCUGAGAGGGUGACCGGCCACAUUGGGACUGAGAUACGGCCCAGACUCCUACGGGAGGCAGCAGUGGGGAAUAUUGCACAAUGGGCGGAAGCCUGAUGCAGCAACGCCGCGUGCGGGAUGACGGCCUUCGGGUUGUAAACCGCUUUCGCCUGUGACGAAGCGUGAGUGACGGUAAUGGGUAAAGAGGCACCGGCUAACUACGUGCCAGCAGCCGCGGUGAUACGUAGGGUGCGAGCGUUGUCCGGAUUUAUUGGGCGUAAAGGGCUCGUAGGUGGUUGAUCGCGUCGGAAGUGUAAUCUUGGGGCUUAACCCUGAGCGUGCUUUCGAUACGGGUUGACUUGAGGAAGGUAGGGGAGAAUGGAAUUCCUGGUGGAGCGGUGGAAUGCGCAGAUAUCAGGAGGAACACCAGUGGCGAAGGCGGUUCUCUGGGCCUUUCCUGACGCUGAGGAGCGAAAGCGUGGGGAGCGAACAGGCUUAGAUACCCUGGUAGUCCACGCUGUAAACGGUGGGUACUAGGUGUGGGGUCCAUUCCACGGGUUCCGUGCCGUAGCUAACGCUUUAAGUACCCCGCCUGGGGAGUACGGCCGCAAGGCUAAAACUCAAAGGAAUUGACGGGGCCCCGCACGAGCGGCGGAGCAUGCGGAUUAAUUCGAUGCAACGCGUAGAACCUUGCCUGGGUUUGACAUGGAUCGGGAGCGCUCAGAGAUGGGUGUGCCUCUUUUGGGGUCGGUUCACAGGUGGUGCAUGGCUGUCGUCAGCUCGUGUCGUGAGAUGUUGGGUUAAGUCCCGCAACGAGCGCAACCCUUGUUCACUGUUGCCAGCACGUUAUGGUGGGGACUCAGUGGAGACCGCCGGGGUCAACUCGGAGGAAGGUGGGGAUGACGUCAAGUCAUCAUGCCCCUUAUGUCCAGGGCUUCACGCAUGCUACAAUGGCUGGUACAGAGAGUGGCGAGCCUGUGAGGGUGAGCGAAUCUCGGAAAGCCGGUCUCAGUUCGGAUUGGGGUCUGCAACUCGACCUCAUGAAGUCGGAGUCGCUAGUAAUCGCAGAUCAGCAACGCUGCGGUGAAUACGUUCCCGGGGCU
rnacentral:rRNA from 1 species